rnacentral:rRNA from 1 species
UACAGAGGGGGCAAGCGUUGUUCGGAAUUACUGGGCGUAAAGGGCGCGUAGGCGGCCCGCUAAGUCGAACGUGAAAUCCCCGGGCUCAACCCGGGAACUGCGUCCGAUACUGGCAGGCUUGAAUCCGGGAGAGGGAUGCGGAAUUCCAGGUGUAGCGGUGAAAUGCGUAGAUAUCUGGAGGAACACCGGUGGCGAAGGCGGCAUCCUGGACCGGCACUGACGCUGAGGCACGAAAGCGUGGGGAGCAAACAGG